AUCUGUAAAUCAGAAGCACGAACCGUUUCUAGCGAUUGUGACGCCGCCGAUAUCAACGGCCGAGACGAUUGGGAAGCGGCGCUUCUUGGUUUUGGGGAGAGGUGGCGAGUAUAGAGCGGCGGAGGAGAAAGAAAAGCGUUUGAGUCCGUUGCUGGAGAGAAGAGCGACGGAAGCUCGGGUGAAGAGAGUGGACUGAACUGAGAAUAUGGUCAUGGCGUAUUUGAGCUCGGAGAUGAGUAAACCCGAGAUUUAUCGUGAAACACCGUUGAUGAAGAGGGGGGGGGGAGACAAAGUCUCCGACGACGAGAAUCGCGGUGGCGAGUGGCGGCUGCGGAAGAGAAGAAGAAAAUCGUCGAUUGGUGGGGGGGGGAGAGAGGACGUGUAAAUGGAUUGAAUUCCGUAAAUUACUGUUAUACCCCCUUCUCUAGAUUACAUUUAGUGAUAAUUUAAAAAAUACCUUUAUUUAUGAAUCGAUAGUUUACAUUUCGUAGUUUGCUGACAAGUUUUGUUUCUUACUAAAUUACACACAUAGUAGGCUGUAAGCAAUAACAAUUAUUACGGAAGGGUAAAGCACGUUUGGGUUGACCAGUUUUAAGUUUAUAGGAGCAAUAAAGAGCGUUGAUACGUCUUCGUGAUGAAGUAGGCCAUUUUAUUCAAUGAUACGUUAUGCUUCCUUCUUUGAGAACUCGGGAUCGGCUGGUUUGUCAGGUAACAUCUCUGGAAAGCUGGAACAUUCCGCUGAAUCGACAUGUCGAUUUCGCAAAGCUUUAGAGACAAACCUCGACGCAUAGAGUGUUGCUCCCAGAUUGCGUUGUGUGUCUUGUAGAAUUUGUUGUUCGUCCUUUAUGGCAGGUAAUAUCUUAGAAGCCUUCCUUCGGCAAUGUGCUUUCCAUGCUGCCUGUAUGUAGAAUGCUGCCCAUGAUCGCCAAGACUUUGAAUGGCAUCUGCAAAUUGUAUGGCGGUAACAUUACCAAGAAGGGAAACUGUGAGACCUCUGGUUCACUUAUUUUGGUAUUUCUUUUAAAAAAGUUAGGGUUUGAAGCCUUGCCUGAAACUGUGUUUGAUGUGUUGGAGUUUGACGCUGUGAUAGCGUCUCAAAUGGUAGGCUAGAAACUUGAGAUCAUCAGCCGAGAGAGUUAAGCCCUCAACAUAGGUAAGCGUCGUUACGGUUCCGUUUGAGAUGGGAAGGCUAGGAGAAGUAUGGGGAUCAAGAGCCCAAAAGAGAAGAUCUUCCCAUACAUCACCUUUCAUGAGUCGAAUUUGGAUAUCGCUGUAGCUAGAUGUUUCAAAAGAUUCUGUCAUGCUUUCCAAUUCGCCGUACGUUACAAUAAGCAUUUCCUUAACCGGGUCACCUUCUCCCAGUAUGUAGCUUUUUUGGGAGUAGAACACAGGCUUCACCCGAUCGUAAAUUUCAUUUAGUAGCCAAUCAUCAUCAAUGAAGGAGAUCCAAGGAACCUGAAAACUCGAAAAGCUACAUGUUAAAAAAACUAUGUGAAACACCAAGUGAUUUCGCAAUAUAUAUGCUUACAUUCUCCAAUGAAUACAAGUAUAAAUUGCGUUUGGCUUCGACCCUUAGGUCUUUUGGAAGACUACGAAGAUGAGCUUCCCUUUCUAUGCUACUGUUUUUUUCCCAUUCAAUGCAUUUCUCUAGAUCGUCUGGUAGGUCCUCAGAAGGCAUCCAUUGUUCUGUGUCUCUUUUCUUCGCCUCCCAUUCAUCUACUCUUAUACUAGUUGAUUGCAAGUACUUCUGUGAUCACCACCAAAAGAAUCAGAUGUACAAGAUCAAAAUCUAUAAUGAUGAGGUGUGAGUUUAUUACCUGAACAUUUCCAAUGAGCCCAGCAAACAAGAGUACACCAGAGACACAAAUGAUGAUAGCAAAAAAGACCUCCCCUGCAGAGUUGCUUGUCUUUAGGUUUUGGCCCAAGGCACUGUAAUUGUUCAAGAAAAUCUUGUUGUAACCGUGAAACUUAAAAUAAAUAAUGAUUGAAGAAGCUAUGAUAGUUUAUAUGUAACAAACCUAAUAUUUCGGAGUCCCCACCAAAAGCAGUACAAGAGCUUCCUUGGAAAAUCCCUUGUCUCUACCACCCCAGAUUUCAAUGCAUCAGUGUAGAUGCCAAAGUUCAAAACUGUGGAAUUUGUGAUUUGCUCAGGGUCAAUCAAUGGGCAUGAAGUGUUUAGGAAACGACUGUUGUCUCCACCAGCACCUCGUGCACAUAAGAGAUUUGUUAGGUCACAUUCGUCUAUCUUUGCACACGCUUCACGCCAACAUGUCUCUUUCUUUUCAACUGCACUCAAGUACCAGAUAGCCCCAAUCACCUGGCCAUCCAUCGAUCAUAUAUGGUUAUAACAAAAAGCAAAUGCAGUGUGAAUAAGGGAGAAAUAAGCUCUUGCUGCUUACAUGGCUCGGCAGCAAGUAAAAGAAAAGGUUUAAAGCAGCUCCAACCCACUUCGUUACAGCAACCCUACCAUAUAGUUUUGUCCCAUUUUUGUAAAUCGGAUAGAUACGGAUGCUUCUAGGUAUAGAUUGACAAAACAUAGCCCAUUUUAGUAUCUCCUUGGACACCAGUGACGUCUUUUGCUUUCUUGAGAGGAGAGUAAGAACCAUCACCUGCGAGAUCUUUAAUCAGUCAGUCUGAUGUCGUUGAAGACUAGAGCUAGUGAUGUCAUAAGGAAGAUAACACAUAACACAAACACACCUGGGGAAUGGGGAGAACAGAGACAAUGUCAACACUGAAGUAGAAAAAGAAAAGUCUCUUCCUUAUAGGCUUAGAAUUGCCUCUUAAUGACGCUUGAGAACGAGGAGCAACGAGCUCAGUUAUAAAAUGAAAAAUGAAGUGAAUCACAUAGAAUACGUCAAUAAGAGUACGAAGGACACAAACAGCUACACCAAGCUUCUUGUCCAAAGUGAAGCAGAACUUAUGAGAAUCAAUCACAGGGAUAAAGAAAAACAAAGGAUCAACGGCUAAAGCAAGCACGCAAACGAAAAGGACAGUCUUCCACCAGUUUAUAAUACGUGUCAUCUUCCAGAACAUUUUCUCCAACCAUCCUCUAACACUCUUGAUAGAUAGAGUUGAAAGUCUCACCACAUUGCCAGUAUUAAACCUGCAUCAACAAGAGCUCACUACAAAAACAACAACUCCUAGCACAAAUAAUAUAUAAAAUAACUAACUACUUCAACUAAAAUUCGAAGAAAGUACCUCGCGUAACUACUACUCCGGUGAUUCAUGUAGGAUUGUAGUUUCUUCCUAAUCUGUAUUUUCUUCCCCUGAGAAUCCACUUAGUCGUCUCUCUUAUCCAUGCUCACUCAUUUCCAAGUUAAACAAUACAAUACUGAUUACCAAAAAAUAAAAACAAUACAAUACUCACCACUCACCUUCAUGCUAUGCAAUGUUGGCUGACUUUUUCACAAACGGUAAGAUACCCUGGAGUCUCUUGUUGGGUACAAUUUUGGUUUGUACUCCUUUGACAUCUAUCUAGUCAACGGUAUGUAGAUUAGAACUAUUUCGGUUGAACACAAGGAAACCAUUCUCUUAAAACAAAAAAAAAACAUUUUUUGUCAUCUAUUGGAUAUUUGGAUUAUAUUAAUAACUUGAAAUUUUACACAUAAACCAACAAAAAAUAUAUUUUUUUCUGGAGCCAAACAAGAUUAUGCAUAAUUGAAGAUUACUUCUGUUGAAUAAAUCUUAGUUCACCAAACAAGUGACGUGCCAACCCCUCUCGACAUUUUUUCCUUACCAGACCCGUUCCAGUCCUCAGGAGAAAAGACACAAAAGCCUUCCAUUAGUAGUAUUAUAUUUUAAGAAAAAAAUAUAAACAUAUAAUACAAGAAACAGAGGAUGUCGACCAAAACAGCCAAAGUCAAAUAAAAACACACAGGGAUGUAGAGAAUAGAACACCUGAUAGAAAACCGGAUAAUGAGUAGAAUCAAUAGAAUCUCUACGGUAAACGUCUAUGACCUUUCCUCAACAGCUCGGCUUGGUGAGCACUUGUAUGACAUCUCAAAACAGUUCAGGAAUCUACAUAGUACGUGUGUGUCGUUAAGGCUCCUGUUUACAUGAUCACCAGGGACUUGCACAUGAUCAAAGUUCUGACACCAAACGAGAGAUACACGCAUGAUGAUGGUUCCAGUUAAAGAUGCAAGGGGGAAGUACACUUACUUGCUUGGUGGUAACAAUUAGCGUAAUUGGACUCGAAGAUGGAGUCUGGUACAUUGUUUGUAGGAUCAUCAUCUGCAAAAAAAGUUGAACAUUUCAAGAUAACGAGCUUCCACUAAGUCAAACUGUAAAUCAGAAGCACGAACCGUUUCUAGCGACUGUGACGCCGCCGAUAUCAACGGCCGAGACGAUAGGGAAGCGGCGCUUCUUCGUUUUGGGGAGAGGUGGAGAGUAUAGAGCGGCGGAGGAGAACGAGGAAGCGAAAGAAAAGCGUUUGAGUCCGUUGCUGGAGAGAAGAGCGACGGAAGCUCGGGUGAAGAGAGUGGACUGGACUGAGAAUAUGGUCAUGGCGUAUUCGAGCUCGGAG
rnacentral:lncRNA from 1 species